rnacentral:rRNA from 1 species
GCUUGGAAGCAGCCAUUCAUUUAAAGAGUGCGUAACAGCUCACUAGUCGAGGAGUCUGGCGUGGAUAAUAAUCGGGUAUUAAGUUGUCUACCGAAGCAGUGGGAUCAUUGAAAUGAUCGGUAGGGGAGCAUUCCAGUCAGCGUCGAAGGCGUACCGCGAGGUAUUCUGGAGCGUCUGGAAAAGCAAAUGUAGGUAUAAGUAACGAUAAAGGGGGCGGGAAACCCCCUCGCCGAAAGACUAAGGUUUCCUGAUCAACGCUAAUCGGAUCAGGGUAAGUCGGGUCCUAAGGCUCAGCCGAAGGGCGAUGCCGAUGGCAGAAACGGUUAAUAUUCCGUUACUACCUCCAGGAGUGAUGUGGAGACGCAGUAGUGACAAUGCCGCCAUCUGACGGAAUAGAUGGUUGAAGGGUGUAGAUGUUGAUCUUGGCAGGCAAAUCCACCAUGAGAAUCGAACCUGAUAGUAUGCCGCGUCCCUCGGGACAAGGCAAUAGUGCAUGUAAUCAUGCUGCCAAGAAAAUCCGCUAAACUAAAUCCUGUAGGUACCCGUACCGUAAACGGACACACGUAGUCGGGAUGAAUAUUCUAAGGCGCUUGAGUGAUUCACGGUUAAGGAACUAGGCAAACUGACCCUGUAACUUCGGGAUAAAGGGUCCCUACCCGGUGACGGGAGGGCGCAGAGAAUAGGUCCAGGCAACUGUUUAACAAAAACACAGGGCUGUGCUAAAUCGAAAGAUCCUGUAUACAGCCUGACACCUGCCCGGUGCUGGAAGGUUAAGAGGAGACGUCAUCGUUGAGAGAAGCGUUGAAUUGAAGCCCCAGUAAACGGCGGCCGUAACUAUAACGGUCCUAAGGUAGCGAAAUUCCUUGUCGGGUAAGUUCCGACCUGCACGAAUGGUGUAAUGAUCUGGACGCUGUCUCAACCGUGAGCUCAGUGAAAUUGUAGUAUCGGUGAAGAUGCCGAUUACCCGCGAUGGGACGAAAAGACCCCGUGAACCUUUACUAUAGCUUAUCAUUGAAUCUGGGCACGUGAUGUGUAGGAUAGGUCGGAGGCUUUGAAGGGGGUACGCCAGUAUCCUUGGAGCCGCUGUUGAAAUACGACCCUUCAUUUGUUUGGAUUCUAACCCGUGUAUAUGGGGACACUGAUUGGUGGGUAGUUUGACUGGGGUGGUCGCCUCCAAAAGCGUAACGGAGGCUUCUAAAGGUGCCCUCACGGCGAUUGGUAACCGCCGUUAGAGUGUAAUGGCAUAAGGGCGCUUGACUGGGAGACUGACAAGUCGAUCAGGUAGGAAACUAGAGCAUAGUGAUCCGGUGUUUCCGUAUGGAA